AUACGGAGGAUCCGAGCGUUAUCCGGAUUUAUUGGGUUUAAAGGGUGCGUAGGCGGGAGAUUAAGUCGGUGGUGAAAUUUUGCAGCUCAACUGUAAAAGUGCCAUUGAUACUGGUUUCCUUGAGUGUGGAUGAAGUAGGCGGAAUUUGUGGUGUAGCGGUGAAAUGCAUAGAUAUCACGAGGAACUCCGAUUGCGCAGGCAGCUUACUAAACCAUAACUGACGCUCAGGCACGAAGGCGUGGGGAUCAAACAGGAUUAGAUACCCUGGUAGUCCACGCAGUAAACGAUGAUUACUAGCUGUUUGCGAUACAAUGUAAGCGGCUGAGCGAAAGCGUUAAGUAAUCCACCUGGGGAGUACGUUCGCAAGAAUGAAACUCAAAGGAAUUGACGGGG
rnacentral:rRNA from 1 species